rnacentral:rRNA from 1 species
GAGUUUGAUCCUGGCUCAGAACGAACGCUGGCGGCAGGCCUAACACAUGCAAGUCGAGCGAGAUCUUCGGAUCUAGCGGCGGACGGGUGAGUAACGCGUGGGAAUAUGCCCUUCUCUACGGAAUAGCCUCGGGAAACUGGGAGUAAUACCGUAUACGCCCUUUGGGGGAAAGAUUUAUCGGAGAAGGAUUAGCCCGCGUUGGAUUAGGUAGUUGGUGGGGUAAUGGCCUACCAAGCCUACGAUCCAUAGCUGGUUUGAGAGGAUGAUCAGCCACACUGGGACUGAGACACGGCCCAGACUCCUACGGGAGGCAGCAGUGGGGAAUCUUAGACAAUGGGGGAAACCCUGAUCUAGCCAUGCCGCGUGAGUGAUGAAGGCCUUAGGGUUGUAAAGCUCUUUCAGCUGGGAAGAUAAUGACGGUACCAGCAGAAGAAGCCCCGGC